GACGAACGCUGGCGGCGUGCCUAAUACAUGCAAGUUGAGCGCUGAAGGUUGGUACUUGUACCGACUGGAUGAGCAGCGAACGGGUGAGUAACGCGUGGGGAAUCUGCCUUUGAGCGGGGGACAACAUUUGGAAACGAAUGCUAAUACCGCAUAAAAACUUUAAACACAAGUUUUAAGUUUGAAAGAUGCAAUUGCACCACUCAAAGAUGAUCCCGCGUUGUAUUAGCUAGUUGGUGAGGUAAAGGCUCACCAAGGCGAUGAUACAUAGCCGACCUGAGAGGGUGAUCGGCCACAUUGGGACUGAGACACGGCCCAAACUCCUACGGGAGGCAGCAGUAGGGAAUCUUCGGCAAUGGACGAAAGUCUGACCGAGAAACGCCGCGUGAGUGAAGAAGGUUUUCGGAUCGUAAAACUCUGUUGGUAGAGAAGAACGUUGGUGAGAGUGGAAAGCUCAUCAAGUGACGGUAACUACCCAGAAAGGGACGGCUAACUACGUG
rnacentral:rRNA from 1 species